rnacentral:rRNA from 1 species
GAAUUCGCCCUUAGAGUUUGAUCCUGGCUCAGGACGAACGCUGGCGGCGUGCUUAACACAUGCAAGUCGAACGAGAAUCUGCUGAAGGAGGAUUCGUCCAACGGAAGCAGAGGAAAGUGGCGGACGGGUGAGUAACGCGUGAGGAACCUGCCUUGAAGAGGGGGACAACAGUUGGAAACGACUGCUAAUACCGCAUGACGCAUAGAGGUCGCAUGAUCUUUAUGCCAAAGAUUUAUCGCUUCAAGAUGGCCUCGCGUCUGAUUAGCUGGUUGGCGGGGUAACGGCCCACCAAGGCGACGAUCAGUAGCCGGACUGAGAGGUUGAACGGCCACAUUGGGACUGAGAUACGGCCCAGACUCCUACGGGAGGCAGCAGUGGGGAAUAUUGGGCAAUGGGCGCAAGCCUGACCCAGCAACGCCGCGUGAAGGAAGAAGGCUUUCGGGUUGUAAACUUCUUUUAAGAGGGAAGAGGAGAAGACGGUACCUCUAGAAUAAGCCACGGCUAACUACGUGCCAGCAGCCGCGGUAAUACGUAGGUGGCAAGCGUUGUCCGGAUUUACUGGGUGUAAAGGGCGUGCAGCCGGGUCUGCAAGUCAGAUGUGAAAUCCAUGGGCUCAACCCAUGAACUGCAUUUGAAACUGUGGAUCUUGAGUGUCGGAGGGGCAAUCGGAAUUCCUAGUGUAGCGGUGAAAUGCGUAGAUAUUAGGAGGAACACCAGUGGCGAAGGCGGAUUGCUGGACGAUAACUGACGGUGAGGCGCGAAAGUGUGGGGAGCAAACAGGAUUAGAUACCCUGGUAGUCCACACCGUAAACGAUGAAUACUAGGUGUAGGGGCCCCAAGCCUCUGUGCCGCCGCUAACGCAUUAAGUAUUCCGCCUGGGGAGUACGGUCGCAAGAUUAAAACUCAAAGGAAUUGACGGGGACCCGCACAAGCAGCGGAGCAUGUGGUUUAAUUCGAAGCAACGCGAAGAACCUUACCUAGACUUGACAUGUCCUGAAUUACCAGUAAUGUGGGAAGUUCCUUCGGGAACAGGAACACAGGUGGUGCAUGGUUGUCGUCAGCUCGUGUCGUGAGAUGUUGGGUUAAGUCCCGCAACGAGCGCAACCCUUAUUGUUAGUUGGUACCAUUAAGUUGACCACUCUAGCGAGACUGCCCGGGUUAACCGGGAGGAAGGUGGGGAUGACGUCAAAUCAUCAUGCCCCUUAUGUCUAGGGCUACACACGUGCUACAAUGGCAAGUACAAAGAGAAGCAAUACUGUGAAGUGGAGCAAAACUCAAAAACUUGUCUCAGUUCGGAUUGUAGGCUGAAACUCGCCUACAUGAAGCUGGAGUUGCUAGUAAUCGCGAAUCAGAAUGUCGCGGUGAAUACAUUCCCGGGUCUUGCACACACCGCCCGUCA